AUGCUCUGGCUUCUCUUCAAGUCGCAUAAAUCUUUCGCCUUUUACUAAAGAUUUCCAUGGAGAGGAGCAGUUAUGCUUGCACAAGUUGGGCCUAAGGGUUUUAAACUAAAUGUGAGUAAGUUU
rnacentral:snRNA from 1 species